rnacentral:tRNA from 1 species
ACUCAGAUAGCUUAUUAGAGCUUAACACUGAAGAUGUUAGGGAGAUGUGUUCAUCUUUGGGUA